GGUAGCGUGGCGUAGUGGUUUGAGUGUUGGACUACGAUUCUGGAGGCCAGGGUUUGAUUCUUAGCUCAGCCA